UACGUAGGGGGGCAAGCGUUUGUCCGGAAUCAUUGGGCGUAAAGCGUGCGCAGGCGGUUUCUUAAGUCAGAUGUGAAAGCCCCGGGCUUAACCUGGGAACUGCGUUUGAAACUGGGAGACUUGAGUGUGGCAGAGGGGGGGUGGAAUUCCACGUGUAGCAGUGAAAUGCGCAGAUAUCAGGAGGAACACCGGUGGCGAAGGCGGGUCUCUGGGCCGUAACUGACGCUGAGGAGCGAAAGCGUGGGGAGCGAACAGG
rnacentral:rRNA from 1 species